rnacentral:rRNA from 1 species
UACGGGGGGGGCAAGCGUUGUUCGGAAUUACUGGGCGUAAAGGGCUCGUAGGUGGCCAACUAAGUCAGACGUGAAAUCCCUCGGCUUAACCGGGGAACUGCAUCUGAUACUGGAUGGCUUGAGUUUGGGAGAGGGACGCGGAAUUCCAGGUGUAGCGGUGAAAUGCGUAGAUAUCUGGAGGAACACCGGUGGCGAAGGCGGCGUUCUGGACUGUUACUGACACUGAGGAACGAAAGCCAGGGGAGCAAACGGG